rnacentral:lncRNA from 1 species
UCCUGAAAAUGCUGAGCCAGACCCCCAGCCGGCCAGUUCCCAGGAAGGUUCAAGAAAUACACAGCAAUAAGUGAAUACCAGGCCCAUGUUUUUCUUUGCGUUAAACCUAAAACCCAGCUGAAAAGAGAAUCAGAGAGAGAAUAGAAGAUUGGCACAUGACAGAGCCUU